UGCUGCAGUGGGGAAUGUUGGGCAAUGGGCAAGACGCCUGAUCCAGCCAUAUAGUAAGAGUGAGAAAAGAAAUAAAACUCUAAAGAGAAGAAAAAUAGUGAUAGAAGUUUUCUAUUAAUCCUGACUAAUCUCGUGCCAGCAGUCGCGGUAAUACGAGAAGGAUAAGCGUAAUACAUUAUAUCUAGGUGUAAAGGGUCUGUAGGCGGCGGAAGCUAGAGUGUAAAAGAGGAAAGAGGAAUUAAAUAAGGAGGGAUGAAAUCCGUAGAUAUAAAUUAGGAACAUCAAAGGCGAAAGCAUCUUUCUCAUAAACACUGACGCUAAGAGACUAAAGUGUGGGUAGCGAAAAGGAUUAGAUACCUCAUUUAGUCCACCA
rnacentral:rRNA from 1 species